GGACUCUGAAUUCUGGCCUGAAUCUGUCACAUAAUUUCUAAGGAGUUUUAUACACAGAACAGCCUGAACGACAGUCCAAACCACCAAGAACAGUCAUCGGUCCUGAUGGAGGCUAACGUCUCCGAGUCAGACUGGCUGUUCGCUGCUAUUUAUGUCAGAGCACGCCCAGUGGCGGAAUCAAGAUGAUGGGGCUGUGGAAGCGAAGGGGAUAGACGUACUCUGACUCCCCCCUGCAAUGCAGCAUUAUCCGUGACUGAUGCUUUCUUGCAUCGUCGAGGAUAUUGCAGUUAGAUGUAGCCCCGUGGCAAAGAGACCAGAUAAAGAAUUAUUAGCAGGCAAAUGAGCAAGUACAACAGAGAUUGUUCCAAAAGUCUUUGGCCCUUUGUUUACACUUUGGGAAAAAGCUGGAGGAGCAGCAAUGAUGGAAGUCGGCCUCCCUGCUGUUCUCACGUGUUUCAUAGACUCAGAUCAUUGGAAGAUGUGUUCUUAAUAGUGAGAGAGAGACCAAGAAAGUGUCUACCAAACAUCCACCAGUUGAAUUGGAGAACAUGGACAAGAUUGCUAUGUAAACUGUGAAGUUCUGAUUCUACAACAUACUGCAGGAUGGGGUUUUCAUAGGAUCUCUCUAGGCAACAAAUGGAUAGAAAUCCAUUUAUCACUGAAAAUAAGCACAAUUACUUAAUAAACUGUUUACUUGACAGCUGGCAGAGCAGAAAGGUGUAACUCGGCUCAUGGUUUGAGAUACCACUUCUACAGUGAGAGCUGCUUAUGUGUGAAACAAUACACCAUAGAAACGAACAGAAUCAUAAACAUCGGCUGUGGAGUUUGAGUGAGAUGCAAACAAGAUGGAACCUCUUGUAAUUAAAUAACUGGGAGAGAACUAGCCGUCCUGCCACCAACAACUGUAAAAGAGGAGAAAAUAUAUGAAAUAAAUGUAUUCACAUACUGGAGAACAAGAAGUACAAGAUUGUGUCCUCUAAGGGAAGGGAAAGAGCAUGUGAACAUCAGGACGGCCUGGAACAUUAGUCUAAAGGCUCUUUCUCAAUUAGAGCAUUAGGUGGUGAAACUCAAGCAGAGCACGCAGGUCUCCUUGAGCUUAGGAGACAGAGUUUGAAAGAUGAGGCUCAGAUUUCCAGUUUCUGGUCCAGCGUGGAAGAAGCUAACAAGUCAACACUUCAUCUUAUCAAAAAGUAAAAGUUGAGAAGACUGAAAAGCCAUAAGAGAAGUGAGGUCACAGGGCAAGUCAUGGCCCCUGAAAUUGGAGAGACCAACAUGCAAAUAUAGAGAAUCACAAUUUAUCGGAACAGAAACCCAAAAGGAACAACCUCUACAGAAACCAGUGGUGAGUAUAUCAUGUCCAACUAUCAAAAAAAUAAAUUAUAAGACAUACUCAAAGGCAAAAAAAUGUUUGAAGAGACAGAGCAAGCAUCAAAACCAGACUCAGACAUGGCAUAGAUAUUGGAAUUAUCUGACUACGAAUUUAAAAGGACUAUGGUUAACAUGCUAAGGGCUCUAAUGGAUAAAGUAGACAGCAUUCAGGAACAGAUAGAUAAUGUAAGAAGAGAGAUGGAAAUCCUAAGUAAGGACCAAAAAGAAAUGCUAGCGAUCAAAAACCCUGUAAGAGAAAUGAAGAAUGCCUUUGAAUGGCUCAUCAGUAGAGUGGACACAGCUGAGAAAAAAAUCUCUGAGCUUAAACAUACAGCAAUAUAAAUCUCCAAAACUGAAAAGCAAAGAGGACAGAGACUGAAAAAAACCCCAGAAUAUCCAAGGACCAUAGUACAAGUACAAAAGAUGCAACAUACAUAUAAUGGGAAUACCAGAAAUAGAAGAAAAAGAGAAGUAAGAGAAGAAAUUUUUGAAUCAAUAAUGACAGAGAAUUUCCUCCCAAAUUAAAGUCAGACAGCAAACCACAGAUCCAGGAAGCUCAGAGAAUACCCAACGGAAUAAAUGCUAAAAAACAUCCCCGAAAAACUACACCUUGGCAUGAUAGUUUCAAACUCUAGAAAAUCAAAUAUAAAGAAAAAAUCCUGAAAGAGGAAAAAAACCUCAUAUUACUUAUAGAGGAACAAAGAUAAAAAUUAUGUCUAACUUAUCCUUAGAGAUCAAGAAAACAAGAAGAGAGUGGAGUGAAAUAUUUAGUGUUGAGAGAGAAAAAAUAAUCCACCUAGAAUUCUGUACACUGCAAAAUUAUACUUAAAAGGUGAUAGAGAAAUACUUUCUAAGAAAACAAAAAUUGAGGAAAGCUUUUGCCAACAGAUUUGCCUUGCAAGACAUGUUAAAAGAAGUUCUUUAGAGAGAAGGAAA
rnacentral:lncRNA from 1 species